UACGUAGGGUGCGAGCGUUGUCCGGAAUUAUUGGGCGUAAAGAGCUUGUAGGCGGUCUGUCGCGUCUGCUGUGAAAAUCCGGGGCUCAACCCCGGACUUGCAGUGGGUACGGGCAGACUAGAGUGUGGUAGGGGAGACUGGAAUUCCUGGUGUAGCGGUGAAAUGCGCAGAUAUCAGGAGGAACACCGAUGGCGAAGGCAGGUCUCUGGGCCACUACUGACGCUGAGAAGCGAAAGCAUGGGGAGCGAAUGGG
rnacentral:rRNA from 1 species